AUUGAACGCUGGCGGCAGGCUUAACACAUGCAAGUCGAACGAGUGGCGGACGGGUGAGUAAUGUCUGGGAAACUGCCUGAUGGAGGGGGAUAACUAAUGGAAACGGUGGCUAAUACCGCAUAUCAUCGGAUGUGCCCAGAUGGGAUUAGCUAGUAGGUGGGGUAAUGGCGCACCUAGGCGACGAUCCCUAGCGGGUCUGAGAGGAUGACCAGCCACACUGGAACUGAGACACGGCCCAGACUCCUACGGGAGGCAGCAGUGGGGAAUAUUGGACAAUGGGCGCAAGCCUGAUGCAGCCAUGCCGCGUGUGUGAAGAAGGCCUUCGGGUUGUAAAGCACUUUCGGCAGGGAGGCGGUACUCGCAGAAUAAGCACCGGCUAACUACGUGCCAGCAGCCGCGGUAAUAC
rnacentral:rRNA from 1 species